rnacentral:lncRNA from 1 species
GAAAAUCUUACACUUUCUUCUCACUUGAAUCUUAUCUCUCUCUUGAGUCCCUUCUCCCCUCUCCUGAGUCCUUCACUCGGCAUCUUUCUUUCUCUCUUGAAGGUCUCUUAUCUCUCGAGCUUCUCUCCCUUCUCCCUUGAAUUUCUCUCAUUUUCCCCCUCAAGUUUCUUCCUUNNNNNNNNNNNNNNNNNNNNACUUCUAAGCCACCUCAUCUCUUUAUCCACAAACGCUUUUUCUUCAACUUGUGAGCAAUCAUUUAUAAAGGAGAUCAAAGCCAUUCUCAAAUAGUCUAAAGGACCCUCAAGUAAUCAAGAAUUCUCCAUAAGGUAUUUGAUUUUUCAUUCCUCUUGAGUGCUUAAUUUGAUCAUCACUUGAAGUCUAUUGCUCUAGAUUUUUACGUGAAACCUAUAGAAUAGCCACCUUUACCUAUUUAGUGAUCCAAAGCCCUCGUUCCUAAGUUUGAUUUGUCUUAUUGAAUUAGAGUUCUCAAUCAAGAUAACCAUAAAUCUAGAUCCUAUCUAAAUCAAAUUGUGAGUUGAGUGAUUUGACUAUUUAAGUAAAUUUAUUAAAAGUCAACCUUUAAUCCCUCUUCUUUAAGACUUUUUGUGAAAAUUAUAAAUCUCUCUAUUUGUUCUGCAUCAAUUCCUCAAGUCGGAUGAGCGUUAAAUUUCGUGAAACAUGAACUCUACUAAUCUUUGGUGCCCCUUUUAUUAGUCUACUGGAUUGAUGAGUAUGCUUCUCUUUUGUGCAUGAAAAAUUGAAUUCAUGGGAGCUGGUCAGCGCUAUUUAUAUGAUGUGCUCUUCCGACAAAAGAUGCAUGUCCAUCACACUUCAAUGUGAUGGCAGCUUUAUGAUAGUCGAGAAGAUGAUGGCACGAGAAUCAUGUAUUUUCUUCUGAUUUCUCUGGCAUUGUUUCUGCUUUCCCUAUCUUCAAUGGUUUUAAUUUGAAUCUGGUUCUGGCUCCUCUUAGGAAUAUUCAUUUAUACAUUUGUACUGAAAGAAAACUCCGGUUGGAGGGAAGUGCAACCCGGAUAAAGAGCAGAUGAGAGUACCAAGGUAACGCUCUCAUCCCGAACGGUACUGAUGGUCUCUUAUGACGGGACUAGAAGAAAGCAGUUGGUGAGGAACUAUUAUCGGCCCGACGGAGCCAGUCGCUGUUCCUGUCUAAUAAUAGAGAAAUCAGAACCCGACGGGGAAAUUUCGCAAAAUUCUCAGCAUCAAGAGAUCCAUCUCGAUUGACUACUCAACCGCUUCGUUAUCUUGGGACGACAUCUUUAAUCAGGUUUUUUUUAGCUUUUGAUAUGUCUGAUGAUUAUCUGGCAAGUGGACAUAAUAGCUGAAACUUUGAAAGCUCCAUUCCAUCUUCCAUCGUUAGUAAUAUUCUUUUCUUCCAGA